rfam:Schistosoma curassoni strain Dakar, Senegal genome assembly, scaffold: SCTD_scaffold0002282
AUCCAGCUGACAAGUGCCAAAUAGGACGAAACGCGCGUCAAACUGGAU